rnacentral:rRNA from 1 species
CGCCAGACUCCUACGGGAGGCAGCAGUGGGGAAUAUUGCACAAUGGGGGAAACCCUGAUGCAGCGACGCCGCGUGAGUGAAGAAGUAUUUCGGUAUGUAAAGCUCUAUCAGCAGGGAAGAAAAUGACGGUACCUGACUAAGAAGCCCCGGCUAACUACGUGCCAGCAGCCGCGGUAAUACGUAGGGGGCAAGCGUUAUCCGGAUUUACUGGGUGUAAAGGGAGCGUAGACGGUAAUGCAAGUCUGGAGUGAAAUGCAGGGGCUCAACCCCUGAACUGCUUUGGAAACUGUAUGACUGGAGUGCAGGAGAGGUAAGUGGAAUUCCUAGUGUAGCGGUGAAAUGCGUAGAUAUUAGGAGGAACACCAGUGGCGAAGGCGGCCUGCUGGGCUUUAACUGACGCUGAGGCUCGAAAGCGUGGGGAGCAAACAGGAUUAGAUACCCCCGUA